rnacentral:misc_RNA from 1 species
CAAAUUCAACAACAGCACACACACACACAUUGUGAAUGGGUUGACUGACGCAAGUCGUCGACAGCUAAACGCAUGACUGUAGUCAUAUAGUACAUACAACAUACAUAAUACAUCAUAUA